rnacentral:lncRNA from 1 species
UGGACUAUCUCUUUAAGCACAGGAGGCAGAACUGUUUCUGUUGGGAGUUUCUUCGUCAGCUGUUACUGUAGCCACCACUCCUACCAACCCAGAGGGGAAAGAUCCUACCAAGAGAGAAGGGCCCACCCUGCCACAAGCUGCUUCAGUUUGUGUCAUCAAAGAUACGUCUUAUACACAGGAAAACUAGAGUGAAGUGGAAAUUGAGAUCAGAUUUUAAAAAUUUGCAUCGCUGUGCUGCAUAAGGGCAGUCUCUAGAGAAGCUAUGAACUGUCAUCAUCUUGUAAAAGUAUGGAAUUUAUGAACUAUAUUCAAAUAUUGGCAACACAUACUGGCUCAAAGUCAUGAAAUUUGGAGAGCACAAGCAAAGCAUAUUCAAAAGGAACAGACCCUAAUAUCAGAUGCUGUAAAAGUGCAGAAUGAGACAAAUACAAAGGUAUGUAAAAUAUCUCAGACACAUUAAAGAAGAAACAAUUGAUCAACCGGAUAGGAAAACUGCAAAAUCAACACAAUAAAUGCAGUAACUUUAAAAUAAGCUAACUCA